AUUGAACGCUGGCGGCAGGCCUAACACAUGCAAGUCGAGCGGCUGCAGAGUGCUUGCUCGUGGAUUCAGCGGGGGAGGGGCGAGUGAUGCCUGGGAAUCUGCCUGGCUGCGGGGGAUAACGUCCGGACACGGGCGCUCAUACCGCAAUAGCGCUGACGGCGUACGUGGGGGAUCUUCGGAUCUUCCGCCCUCAGUCGAGCCUAGGUCGGGUUAGCGAGUUGGGGGGGUAGAGGCCUACCAGGGCGACGAUCCGUAGCUGGUCUGAGAGGAUGAUCAGACACACUGGAACAGAGACACUGUCCAGACUUCUGCGAGAGGCAGCAGUGGAAAAUAUUAGACAAGGGGCGAAAGUCUGAUACAGCCAUGCCGCGUGUGAAGAAGGUCUUCGGAUUGUAAAGCACUUUAGUUUGGAAGGAAGAGCAGUAAGUUAAUACCUUGCUGUUUUGACGUUACCAACAGAAUAAGCACCGGCUAACUUCGUG
rnacentral:rRNA from 1 species